rnacentral:siRNA from 1 species
CUAUCGAUCAAUACAAAGGUAC